ACAGAGGCCACGAACGUUGUUCGGAAUCACUGGGCAUAAAGCGCACGUAGGCGGCCAGGUCCGUCCGAUGUGAAAGCCCCCGGCUCAACCGGGGAACUGCAUCGGAAACUGCCUGGCUUGAGGACGGUUGGGGUGAGUGGAACUCCUGGUGGAGCGGUGAAAUGCGUAGAUAUCAGGAGGAACACCGGUGGCGAAAGCGGCUCACUGGACCGUAACUGACGCUGAGGUGCGAAAGCUAGGGGAGCAAACGGG
rnacentral:rRNA from 1 species